GCACUUAUGGCUCAGUGGUAGAGCGUGUCACUAGUAAUGACAAGGUCCGCGGUUCGAUCCCGCGUAAGUGCA
rfam:Talaromyces stipitatus ATCC 10500 scf_1105507295515 genomic scaffold, whole genome shotgun sequence.